rnacentral:tRNA from 1 species
AUUCUUUUAGUAUAACAAAAAUAUAUUUAACUUCCAAUUAAAUGAUCUUAGAUAAAGAAAGAAUA